GAUGAACGCUAGCUACAGGCUUAACACAUGCAAGUCGAGGGACCGGCGCACGUGUGAGUAACACGUAUCCAACCUGCCCUUUACUCGGGGAUAGCCUUUCGAAAGAAAGAUUAAUACCCGAUGUAAAGGAUGGGGAUGGGUUCCAUUAGGUUGUUGGUGAGGUAACAGCUAACCAAGCCUUCGAUGGAUAGGGGUUCUGAGAGGAAGGUCCCCCGCAUUGGAACUGGGACACGGUCCAAACUCCUACGGGAGGCAGCAGUGAGGAAUAUUGGUCAAUAGGCGUUAGCCUGAACCAGCCAAGUAGCGUGAAGGAUGAAGGCUUAUGAGUCGUAAACUUCUUUUAUAUAAGAAUAUGUAUUAGAUGAAUAAGGAUCGGCUAACUCCGUGCCAGCAGCCGCGGUAAUUC
rnacentral:rRNA from 1 species